UGUGCUCUCUCCACCAGCCAGCACAACCGAGACUAAUCCUCUUUUUCUGCCGGACCGAAUGCCACAGUAAAGUUUAAAAAACAAACUUUUCUUGGUGACCUUGAAUGAGACAGCUGCAUAUGCCUCGCUCUCUGGAUGACAUUGUGACCAAACAACAUUUCCUUCCUACGGCAUUCACAGCCACGACUGGCACGGUUUCCCUGUUGGCUCUGAGACCCCACAGCUGGACAUGAACAUCUCCUCUUCUGAUUCUGCAAACUAAGGAGGCCUUUAUUCUCUGUGGGAGAAAUACAGCCUGAAGCACAUUAAAUCCUUUCCAACAGGACACAAGGCCAACAAAAUAAUAUAAGAAUUCAAUAAUUUACACUAUAUAUAUAUAUAUAUAUAUAUAUAUAUAUAUAUAUAUAUAUAAACUCCAGAGCAUAAACUGCAGGACAUGCUUUUCCAUCUCCAGCCAUUGCCACAGCGGUAUUGGUAUAGCUGAACAAAGUCUUUCAAAAUCCCACCGACAGCACUACAGAAGGGUCGAUGAGAAGACCCCGUCGAGCUGUGAAAUCUCACAGGUGUCUGUGAAUCCACUUCACAGGCAGCAAAGCCAUCUCCCAGAAGAGAUCAUCUGUGGUGCUUGACUUGCAAAUUUGAGAAAUAACCUCUGGAACAUUCCAUGUGGGGGAAAGGGAACAAUUCCUCACAGUCCAUCUGUUUCUGAUGCAAGGUUGUCAAGGUUACACACAGUAUGUUGCCUGAAGACGACAACCAAACACAAACUCCCAACCCUCAGCCUGCCAAUCUUGGCUCUUUCUUCUCUGCAGGCAGCACCUUCGUCAGGCAAUGUAGGAUCUCUAGUUCCCCAGGCCAGCACAGUAAUGAAUGUAAUUAAAAUGUUGUUUGAGGGACCUGGGGCCUUAGAUGUUCUAUCUGUUCCAUGAGGAUCUCAAUGAACAAUGCACCAAGGUAACAAUGAACAUUGAAAGCUGGCUCAAAAAGUGGACGAUGGGCUUUUGGUGCGGGAGCUACCUCGAGCAGCUGGAGAAUGACGCCCUCCUUUCUUUCCCAUUGACAGGGAGAGGAAGAGACAUGCGGCUGAAAUGUAAUUGCCUGAAGCAUCUUAGGGCCAUCAAUUCUGUUUUAUUUUAGGUUUAGUGCAGCUUUCAAGUAGUCCCGUAUCUCUAAUCUAAACAAAAACGUACAGAAAAGCCUGUAAAUUAUUAAUUAAAACAUGCAAAAUUUAGGCCUGCCCUUAACAGUAUUGAUAUCAGAUUGAGGCCAAGAAACAAGCAAUAUUGGCUAUCUUAGCUCACAGAAAUUAAACAAGCUAUAUUCCAAAGCAAUGCAACCCAAUGUUUCCUAAAUUAUUUAAGGUAAUGGACCUGUGUUUUUUCAUCUUACCAUCUGAAGAAAAUGUGGUCAUUCAAAGUUUGUGUCAGAUGAAAGUAUCCUUUUGCCUGUGUUUUGAGUGUCCAGCAAUUGGCUAAUUUCACGAUGAGAUGUAAUUGGCAGAUGUAGCUCAAUGUCCAAAGGGGGUAAUUAUUGAUAGUGGUACUGGAGAAUUUGUGUCAAUGUAAUUAGCAGGAAAAAGAAGAAGGAGAAAAUAAAACUAAACCCAAGUUUGGGGCUUUAUUGUGAGGAUGUGAGAAGGUGUUUGGGAAUUCUCUGUGUUUACGUGAGGUUAGAAGGCACAGAAAUGAAUGUUUUUAAGAGAGUCUGUGUUCAUUGUGGUAAUUUCUGCAGGAUACCCUGAAAAGUGCCAAACUCUGUGUGUUGUAUACGUAUAUAUGGGACAAGGCGCAACUUGGCGGAUGGAAUACCUGCCACCUCAAUCUUUACUUUUAUUUCAGCUUUAAACUCACCAAUUUCAAUUGAGCAGCUUGUUGAAAACUGGUCUGAUUGCUUACGUAACAUUUUGCUAUGCAGUAAGCCUAUUUGUUCAUGUAAUUUAUGGGAGAAAGAGAUACAAUUUUAUUUGCAUACUGUAUUCAAUUUUAUUUUUGACAAAUAUAAAUGUGUAAUAAGGAUUAGUGUUUAUAUAAUGGAUUAUGUACUGUAACGUAAUCUGUGUCAAAGACAGAAUAAAUAAUUAUUGGAGUAAACAUUAAAUUAAUUAGGCAGUAACAUGAAUGACUUCACUCUGGGCUCACUGAUUUCACAGAUGAGAGAUGACAGCUGAAAACUCAAAGAUGGGUUGGGCAAUCACUGGAUCAUUGAUGUGAACCAAUCACAGUGCUUUGUUAUGAAGAUCAGUGUCUUUGGAUUGAAUAAUAUGAUCUAGUGAUUUACAGCACCUUUUGGCCCCACCAAUUGCAGGGAAAAAGAAAUCUCAGUGUCCCGUUCACAUCUUUCUGUAGCUUAAAUCAGGACAGACAGCAAAACAGACUAAUCCUGAGUAUCGUUGUGUAACCUACAACAAUUGUCAUGAGGUCUGCUCAGUGGUGUAAAUAGGCUUGAAUUGAAUUCUUAACAAAAAAUAAACCCCUUAUUGGGAGCUGGGCAUCCAUGAGCCAGUCAUAGUUUGCAUGGUCAACAUGUAUCAUUUCUUUAAAAAGAUAUAUUUCACGGGCUCCACCACAGACUCACUCAAGAGAUGAUACAUUAGUCCUCUUCAGACACAAGUGCGCUCAACUGUGGGAUUGUAAAAGCUUUUUAAAACAGCAAAUGGCUUCCUUCCCAAAUGGAAGAGGAAAAAUGAAAUAAAUGUCCAGAAAAUGUAGCUCUCUCCAUACUCAGUACUGUGAUUGCCUUGGACCUGGCAGUGAUCCAGAGGUGUUAAAUUGUGUAUCAUCAUUUAGCAGCAGAACACUGUGAUACAUUAGGCUCAUUGUCACAUGAGCCAGAGAACAAAUGAACAAUUAAACUGUAAAAUCAGAAAUUAGUGGGACAGACCCAUUACAUUUGAAGAGGUUGAAUCAGCUGGACUCUAUUAAACAAUUACCACCACAAUUCAUUUUGACAUAGACCAUUCCACCAUCCUGAGGAUAUCCUAUUCCCAUUUGUCUUUUUUAGUAAAAACCAGACAGCCAGCUAUUCUGAGAGAGGUUGUGGUUAUAUGGGAUUACUAUGUAUUAUGGCUGUUACUUUGUGAGUGUUGGUUCUGUCUUGGGUUAAGAGCACUUUCAGAUCAGUGCAAUACUUUGUAGACGGACAGCACAGCACUGUCAG